UGCUUUUCCCCAGGGUCAUAGGUCGUGUUCCCCUUUGUGCCUGGCUGUUGUUUCCCCGGGGGGAGGGGGAGCCUAUCUUCUUUUGUUGAGCCGGACUUGCAGGGCGAGGCCUCUACACUUGGAGGGAAAGAGGCAUUGUGGGGCAGUGUAGGUGCAUCUGGUCAAGAUGCUACCAGCAAGCUUUGACUGUACGAGACCUGACACCAGCAUGUGUGAUUGAAGAGGGAGAGAGAGAGAGAGAGAGAAAGAGAGAGAGAGAGGCCCGCAACCAUGAGUGGAGUCAGCCUUUUAGCAUUAGACACUGUUUAAUAGAGGUCACUGCUAACGCUUUUACUUUAAUAGAAAGUCUUUUUCUCAACAACCUUUUGCUUUGCUAAUUUAUCGCUGACAUGCUUAAUUUGUUAUUUAAGAUAAAGUAUUUCUCCUUUAAUUCUGUUUGAGCUGCCUGUUCAUGUGGGCUCGCAUGAGUGAAUGCAUUUCAUAUGAUAAAAAGCUACACCACA